AAGCACAGCGUGUAAUUUGACAUCUGACGGAAUUUUGUGAGGCAUUCUAUGCAUCUGGCCACAGUCUAUGAAGCCAUGUGAAACUGAAGUUUUUAGCGUUCUGGUACGAACACAAACUUUGCUCUUCCUUUGUGUCUAAUAUGUCUAACUUAAAACCGUCAGUCUACGGCAUCAAGGGGUUAAGACUGUAAAGUGUUCAAUUUUCGACACCUUAUGUAGACUACAGUAACAUUUUCACUGGUGGCAUUGAUCAAAAUCUACUCUGCGUUUUGCAGAAGCAGUUGUUUUUCUGGAUAUUGGAUAUCUCUGGAAACGUUUCUUAAUGCGUAUAUAUAGAGAACUGUGCAGUAUAUUAUUUAAAUCUUACGAACCAUUAAGGCUGUAUUACUGUACAAUACAAUGGCAUCCGGUGUUGAUGUGACUCCGUCAGGCGCUGGUGUUGAACCCGUUGGAAAACUUUCGGUAUCAGAUAAGUUAGCUGAGGCACAAAAGCUGAAAGCUAUUGGAAAUGAGAAAUACAAAAGCAAGUUGUUCAAGCAAGCAAUAGGCAGUUACCACCGUGCCCUGCUUUAUUUAAGAGGGGUGUGUCAAACAACUGGCUCAAAGCUGGGAGGCUUCAUUGGCAUGCUGAUGGAAACGAAUAACCCUGACAUAUCCCCAGAGAUGCAAGCUGAUGUGACAGCUUUACAACUGGACUGUUAUAACAAUUUAGCAGCCUGUAUUUUGCAGCAAGAGAAACCUAACUAUGAAAAGGUUGUCAUGUACUGUGAUAAUGUUCUGGAACUCUCACCCAGUAAUGUGAAAGCUAUGUACAGGAGAGGUGUGGCAUAUUAUCAUUUGCACAAUUAUGACAAAGCCCACACAUGCUUACGACAGGCCAGGGAAACUAAAGGGCAAGAAAAAGAUCCAGCUAUAGACAAGUAUUUGUCACUUUGCCAAAGAGAACUUCAAAAAGAGGAGAAACUGAUGAAGAAGAAGUAUAAAGGGAUGUUUGACAAACUCUCAUCUGGAGAUCUGAACACAUGAUGCUCAUUAAUGGCGUGUAUUUAAGGCUGUAGGAAAGUAUGGUAAAAAGUUUGAUGUGAUGGUCAAAAGGUUCAUAAACAGGACGGUACCAUUUUUGUAAAGGUUCAUAAACAGGACUGAACCAUUUUUGUAAAGGUUCAUAAACAGGACCUGUCAAGUAGCAAUGAUAUUACUCUUGUCAUUUGACAAGGGACAUUUAUGUGUGAUCAGAGGUGUUGUGAAAUCUUAAGACUGGCUAGUGAAUCAUUUCAGGCCUUGAUAAAAUUCUAGUACCUAGAAUUAUUGUGCUUGGUAAGAAAUAAUGAACAGUUUGACGGCAAGAGUAAUCUUGACUGCCGCUGAAAGGGUAGAAAACCCAUGAACGCUGCAUUAAUCACAAAUCACAUAAACAGAUUUAGACAUGUAGCUCAUUCACCGGCUGAAAGUUUCAUUACACCUACCUUCCAGACUUUUUGGUGGCUAAGAUACUAGCCUGGUAAUCACCAGGUCACCUAAGGUGUGUGUGGGCCUCCAUGGAUCAGUUGGUUAGCAUGCUAGUGCAUUGUAAUGGCCCAAGAGCCUCUCACCAAUGCGGCUGUUGUGAGUUCAUGUCCAGCUAAUGCUGACUUCCUCUCCGGCCUUAUGUGGGAAGGUCUGUCAGCAACCUGCGGAUGGUCAUGGGUUUCCCCUGGGCUUUUUGCCAGCCGUGGGAAAGGUCGCCAACCGCUUGCCAACAUGGCAUGAUUUGUCCACAAGUGGGAAAGUUUGCCAACCGCUUGCCACCAGUAACCAGCCAGUGUAUGUGGUUUUCCCAGAACACACUGUUGGCGCCCUGUCUAGUGGUCUCUUCCACUUGUACAUUUCCACUAUCCUUUAAGUAGAAAAUUCUUUAGUGUGAUGUUAAACAACAGUCGGCCAAUUUAUAUGAGUUUCGUGCUGUAUUUCAUCUAACGUUUAGCAUUUUUCAAAUGAAAUAGUUUGCUUGAUUCUUAUUUAUUCAUCCACUUUAUUGGGCCACAUAAGAGAUUUUUUUGAAAAUUGAUUAAUUUCUUAUCAAAAAGAUAUAAGUACUGGCAUCUAAAGUAGCUUAAGGACUUAAUGUGCCUCUGAAUGUUUCGCAUGACGAACUUUAGGUGAAAAUACAGUAAUUAACUAACAUCCACAAGUAGUUGUAACUAAAACGAAAGCUUCAUUGUGACUCAUUAUUUCUUGGAAUGACACUAACUUAUUCGUGGAUCUACUGGAUAACUAAAUUCCUGACAUUGAGAAAGUGGAAGCCCAAUUUAACUUUGAUGGACAUCGACAAUGAAAGCUAAAAUAUUAUUGUUAUGAUUUGGACGUUGUGAAAAGCCCAGUAGAACAAUAAAUGUUUUUUCUUUGACAUGGCAGUUAUUCUUUAAUAAAUACAUUAUCAGACAUGCCAGUUUGGUACUCAUUUGCAUGGUUCAUUUUCUCAUGCAUGAACUACGUUGGCUGUAGAUACAUGUAUGCGCUAUCUUCACAACUGCAUGUUCAGAAUGCUAGAUCGUACACUUCGGGAGCAGUAGAUCCAGGGUCAGUCCUGGGUUACGUCACACCAAAGACCUUAAAAGAGGAAGUUGUAACUUCCACGCUUGGCGUUCAGUAUCAAGGGGAUAGUGCAACGACUGUUUGCCCCGUAUCAGUAUAAUGGCUUCAUCGUCAUAUGACUGAAAAAUUGUUAAGUUUGACCUUAAGCCCCUAGCACUCAAUCUGUAGAAUGCUGGUGGUUCUUUGUCAAAUUGUAUAGUUACCAUGCUAACAUUUGCAUCAGGUCAUGUUCUUAUAUGACGUAUAUCGUGUCACUUAUCAUGAAGGACAACAGAUUUCUCUGUAUUGCCCUAUACCCUUCAUCUAAUGUAACCAUAUUCAUGUAAGUAUACAAUGUACCAAAUGAGUAAAUAUCGUUCAUUAAGCAUAUAGUAAAGCAAGGGUAAGGAAUUUACCUAAGCUGUUGAAUAGUAAUGUCCUUUAUCUCCAUGUAGGGGGCCUCCGUGGCUCAGUUGGUUAGCCCGCUAGCGCAGCG